GCCUGGGUGGCUCAGUCGGUUAAGCGUCUGACUUUGGCUCAGGUCAUGAUCUUAUAGUUCGUGGGUUUGAGCCCUGCGUCGGGCG
rnacentral:tRNA from 1 species